CGCGAGCGCGCCGGGUUGCGUGGACAGGAUUCCCGCCCAACUCCUGUCUUGGGCCGGGUGCAGUUGGCGGGUUGUAACCUCUUGCUCAGGUUGGCGUGUGGGCGCGGCUCUCUGGCCGCUAUGUACCGGUUGGCAGAGCGUGACUCGGCCUCCGCAGGGCUUCUUAAAUUAUCCUAGUUAUCUUCAUGCCCACCCACAAGAAACCAGGGCCGAAUUAAUUGAAUCAGUCGCCAAGUGGGUAGGCCCACUUCUUUCCCUUCAGCUCUGCCGCCUAGAUGGCUGUACUACAUUUCCCAGCAUCCCCCUCCCGGGAUGUGGCAGUGUGACAGAGCUCGGGCCAGAUGAUGUCCACUACUUCCAGGACUGGCCAUGCAAACCUGCCACAGGCCAUUCUCCAAGCUCCUGCCCUUUCUAUGGCAGCCCUGGGAGCCGUGCAGCACAGAUGGAUCCCUGCCUCAUCUGCCUCAGCCAGCCCACUUGUACUCAUCCUCUGUGACUCAGCACAGACCCCAGGUCUUCCGGGACAGCUUCCCGGAAGGAGUGAGGGAGCUCUGCCUUUGUGCCCUCAAGACAGGAGCACCCCAGUCUUGAGCUUUGAAUGUUGCCUGGAAGGGGGGGUUAUGUGAUUUGGGAAUUUACCCAUUUGACUCCAAAAACUAUAAACGCCUGAAUGGGGUACUGUGUUUUUCUUCACUGUGACUCCAAAGCCUUCAACAGUGUUUGACACUUACCAAGUGCUCAAUAUGUGCUUUUGAAUGAAUGAAUGAACUAACAGGAGACUGCUGCAGUGGCCCAGGCAAGAGAUGAUAAAGUGGACUGGAGUAGGUUCUGUGGGCUUGGAAAUGAACUCAAGAAUGUAAAGAAUAUUUCAAAGAAAGAAACUGGGGUGAUGUGGUGCCAAAUAGACUAUGGUGACCACAGAUGCCAGAAGAACUAGAACCAAGGUACAGGAGGAUAAUGGUGAUCCUGACAGCUCAGGGAAGUUGGGGUGGGGGACUGGAGGGAAUUUUAUUCCUAUGUCUUCAGAGCAGAAAAAUUCUCCAAGAUGCAGGUACCCUGUGCCCUC